UAGAGAAGCAUUACCGUGAAGGAACGGUGAAAAGCACCCCGGCAGGGGAGUGAAAUAGAACCUGAAACCGUGUGCUUACAAGUAGUCAGAGCCCGUUAAUGGGUGAUGGCGUGCCUUUUGUAGAAUGAACCGGCGAGUUACGAUUUGAUGCAAGGUUAAGCAGUAAAUGUGGAGCCGUAGCGAAAGCGAGCCUGAAUAAGGCGUUUAGUAUUUGGUCGUAGACCCGAAACCAGGUGAUCUACCCUUUGUCAGGUUGAAGUUCAGGUAACACUGAAUGGAGGACCGAACCGAC
rnacentral:rRNA from 1 species